rnacentral:rRNA from 1 species
UACGUAGGGGGGCAAGCGUUGUCCGGAAUCAUUGGGCGUAAAGAGCUUGUAGGCGGUUUGUCGCGUCUGCUGUGAAAUUUCGGGGCUCAACCCCGAACUUGCAGUGGGGUACGGGCAGACUAGAGUGUGGUAGGGGGAGACUGGAAUUCCUGGUGUAGCGGUGAAAUGCGCAGAUAUCAGGAGGAACACCGAUGGCGAAGGCAGGUCUCUGGGCCACUACUGACGCUGAGAAGCGAAAGCAUGGGGGAGCGAACAGG